rnacentral:tRNA from 1 species
GGCAAGAUGACUGAAAAAGUAGGGAAUUGUAAACUCCCCUAUGUAAGUGAAAGCCUUACUCUUCGCCA